GACGGUAGGGCGCAAGCGUUGUCCGGAUUUAUUGGGCGUAAAGAGCUCGUAGGCGGCCUGUCGCGUCGACCGUGAAAACCCGCAGCUCAACUGCGGGCCUUGCGGUCGAUACGGGCAGGCUCGAGUUCGGUAGGGGAGACUGGAAGUUCCGGUGUGAGCGGUGAAAUGCGCAGAUAUCAGGAGGAACACCAAUGGCGAAGGCAGGCUCGCUGGGACGGUACUGACGCUGAGACGCGAAAGCGUGGGGAGCAAACAGG
rnacentral:rRNA from 1 species